rnacentral:rRNA from 1 species
CUCCGUUGGUGAACCAGCGGAGGGAUCAUUACCGAGUUUACAACUCCCAAACCCCUGUGAACAUACCUUAUGUUGCCUCGGCGGAUCAGCCCGCGCCCCGUAAAAAGGGACGGCCCGCCGCAGGAACCCUAAACUCUGUUUUUAGUGGAACUUCUGAGUAUAAAAAACAAAUAAAUCAAAACUUUCAACAACGGAUCUCUUGGUUCUGGCAUCGAUGAAGAACGCAGCAAAAUGCGAUAAGUAAUGUGAAUUGCAGAAUUCAGUGAAUCAUCGAAUCUUUGAACGCACAUUGCGCCCGCCAGUAUUCUGGCGGGCAUGCCUGUUCGAGCGUCAUUUCAACCCUCAAGCCCAGCUUGGUGUUGGGAGCUGCAGUCCUGCUGCACUCCCCAAAUACAUUGGCGGUCACGUCGAGCUUCCAUAGCGUAGUAAUUUACAUAUCGUUACUGGUAAUCGUCGCGGCCACGCCGUUAAACCCCAACUUCUGAAUGUUGACCUCGGAUCAGGUAGGAAUACCCGCUGAACUUAAGCAUAU